AGCGCGCGCGCCUUGCUAACUUCCAAUGCAGCACAGCCCUUGCCGCCGUUCGCGCCCUGGCGAUUGCCGGCACGUCAGCUCGGGCUGGGCCAAUGGCGAGCGCCCACGUCGGGAGAAUGCCUCGUGACCGCGCGUCACCGGAGAGAAAGGCCUUUUCCUUUCUUCUUGCGCCUCUUUCCCCUCCCCCAUGCAGGCUUCUCGGUCUCCAUUUCCGAAUUCAUUCCAGUCCUGUGCCUGAACUAAAACCACUUGUUUCUAUCCUACAAUUUUAAGGUUUCAAGAAAGGCUCGACCCCUCGAAUCAUUUUUCCAGCUUCCAAAUGCUAGGGACCAAUGUAUAUGACUGGCGACGCCCACAUGAGAGGGCCUGUACUGAAAAUCCAUGCGACACUGACAUGCAUGAAUCAUGGGGCACCUUGGACAGGCCUCAAAAUGCGGCUGAUUUACUGAAUUUUUAUCCUUAACGACCUGAGUCAGGACUAAUGGAGUUCUCGGCGGACACAACAUCUUCGUUGGUAUGUGGUGCUGAGGAUCAAACCCGGGCCGCACGCAUGCCAGGCGAGCGCGCUACCGCUUGAGCCACAUCCCCAGCCCCAACAAUGUUGUAUGUUAACUUGAGAAACAGGAUUACUAAAUCAUUCCAUCUAGGAAUAUUGUAUGUUAGUCCAUUUAUUCAGGUGUUUGUCCUUUAAUAAAUGUGAAUUUUUCCCUUUGGAAUUA